AAUUCUCAACUCCUUCAGCUUUUUAUAGUUGAAGUGAGCUUGGAUGUGGAGGUCUUGCGGGUCCAAUCUUAUUGGGUCGGCUCCUCUGAAAUGCAUUAGCGGAACCGUUUGCGAUCCGUCACAGGUGUGAUAAUUAUCUACGCCUAGUGGGUUGCUCUCUGUCUUGUUCAGCUACCAACCGUCCCAUACCAAGGGACAACAUCAUUACUGAAC
rnacentral:misc_RNA from 2 species